rnacentral:rRNA from 1 species
UGCACCGAAGCUGCGGCAGCGAACGUAUCACUUAAAGUGAUUCAGCGGGUUACGAUUGACGGAGCGAAGCGACGUCAAAGCGUAUACAAAGUCGAGUCGGUUUAAGGAUACGUUCGUUGGGUAGGGGAGCGUUCUGUAAGCCUGCGAAGGUGGCCUGUGAGGGUUGCUGGAGGUAUCAGAAGUGCGAAUGCUGACAUAAGUAACGAUAAAGCGGGUGAAAAGCCCGCUCGCCGGAAGACCAAGGGUUCCUGUCCAACGUUAAUCGGGGCAGGGUGAGUCGACCCCUAAGGCGAGGCCGAAAGGCGUAGUCGAUGGGAAACGGGUUAAUAUUCCCGUACUUGGUGUUACUGCGAAGGGGGGACGGAGAAGGCUAUGUUGGCCGGGCGACGGUUGUCCCGGUUUAAGCGUGUAGGUGUGUGUUCCAGGUAAAUCCGGUUCACUUUAACACUGAGGCGUGACGACGAGGCACUACGGUGCUGAAGCAACAAAUGCCCUGCUUCCAGGAAAAGCCUCUAAGCAUCAGGUAACAUCAAAUCGUACCCCAAACCGACACAGGUGGUCAGGUAGAGAAUACCAAGGCGCUUGAGAGAACUCGGGUGAAGGAACUAGGCAAAAUGGUGCCGUAACUUCGGGAGAAGGCACGCUGACACGUAGGUGAAGUGAUUUACUCAUGGAGCUGAAGUCAGUCGAAGAUACCAGCUGGCUGCAACUGUUUAUUAAAAACACAGCACUGUGCAAACACGAAAGUGGACGUAUACGGUGUGACGCCUGCCCGGUGCCGGAAGGUUAAUUGAUGGGGUCAGCGCAAGCGAAGCUCCUGAUCGAAGCCCCGGUAAACGGCGGCCGUAACUAUAACGGUCCUAAGGUAGCGAAAUUCCUUGUCGGGUAAGUUCCGACCUGCACGAAUGGCGUAAUGAUGGCCAGGCUGUCUCCACCCGAGACUCAGUGAAAUUGAACUCGCUGUGAAGAUGCAGUGUACCCGCGGCAAGACGGAAAGACCCCGUGAACCUUUACUAUAGCUUGACACUGAACAUUGAGCCUUGAUGUGUAGGAUAGGUGGGAGGCUUUGAAGUGUGGACGCCAGUCUGC